rnacentral:sRNA from 1 species
UUAGAAAUUUAAUUAAACCUGUAACAGAUUCAGAACAUUAGCAGAAUAUUGGUUCUUGGAGAAUCAUUAAAUCCAAAAUAUAUGACAUUUGAGAAAGGAA